GAUAUAAGAGAAAAACCCAAGCUGAGGAGGGACAGGGAGGAGAGGGGGGCGCAAUUACUUUAGCGGUGCAGUGAAAAUGAUGAGCAGCAAAUGUUGCCUUUUUUCCCUCCUCCUUCUCGUCCCUCCACCCCCCCACCCUCCACCCAAAAAGCAAGUCUUAGAGGAUUUCUCUGUCUCAAUGAAGUAAUAAUAAAGGCGGCUGACCACAGUCUGGGCUAGCGCCAACCGUGCGGGGGGGGGGGGGGAGGAAUAUCCCUGCUCCCAGAGUCCUGAGGAGAAGAGGAAGAGUGGAGGAUUGUUGCAGCACAAGUUCUUGCUCUUGGUGAAAAAAUAUCUCUUCUCUGGAAAUUCAUUUCCAUUUACUUAAAGUUAAAUGGUUUGACUUUGAAUUUUCAUUAUCUGCUGUUGGAAGGAGCCUGUGACAGAUAGGGUAGCCCACAGACUGGCCAUAAAUUGCACCAAAUUGGGAACGUGUUGAACUCUUAAGCGCUGUAGCAUCGUGGGAAGUUUCAUCAUUAAAAAAAGAAGAAGAAAAAUUACUUCCUUUAACUGGACUAAAUCAAUAUUUCUUCCUAAAAUAAUGAAACCAUAUGCAGAUAAAAACUAUCAUACAGGUGAAGAAGAGUCCAUGAGUGGGAAUAAUGCAAAAUAAUUUGACUUUUGAGAGACUGUAAGCUCUUUGAACCUAUUGUUAAAACAGAGGAUGUUUGACAUCAUUGCAAAUCAUUCUGUCUUCCUUUUACUUAUAAGUCCUGGUAUCUGUAAUAGACUGUGUACAUACAUUCAUAUGGUGAUGUUUGGUUAGUAGAACACACACGGCUGGAGUUAAAUUAUUUAAUUUAUAGAGUUUCAAAUAUCUGCUAUCUUCACUAGGUAGAUCUUUAAAAACUGAAAGAAUAUCCCUUAAUAUGGGUUUCAUUGAAAACAAGCAUUUAGAAAAAAAAAAAUAAAAAGGAAACAAAUGUGCCAUAUACAUGCAAAACAUGCUAGCUUGAAUGUACCUGUAUAAUUACCAAACAGUAUUUCUUCAGGUAUGGAGUGCAUUUUGAUGUUGUUCAUUUUAUCAUACACACAUUAUUCCAUAAUCUAAAAAAUAACAUAGCUUUGCAAGAAGAUGGCUAGUGAUUUAUUAUUAGGUUCAGUUAUCCUCUGCAGGAAGAUAAAAUUACUACUAACCUUUCAAAAGAGGUCCAGGGUUGAAACCUCACUAUCAUAUAGAGAAACUAGAAUUUGACUCUCCCAUUAACUUUGCUUAGGUCGGGGGGGGGGGACGACACGGACGACGACAGUAUCUUUGAAUGUUAAGCCACUGGUUUUCAUACAUGAAUAUUCAGAAAUCUAGUCAACCCAAAAUGGAGACCACUGUCUGAGAUGCAGCCCUUGUUUGGAAAGCAAAACUGAGGAUUUCCUGAGGCUUCAUGGUGUGAGAAAAGGAGCUGUGGACCAGUCAAUGCCUUUUUGCACCACUAAGUACUGAAGUUAAUGUGAGUGUGAAUCUAUGUUUCUUUGUUCAGAAUUACUGUAAAUGUUCUCUCAUGGAGAAAUUGCUCAGUCUAAAGAUAAUUAUAGUUACACAGUCGUUCAGGUGAAUUAGUGCAGGGAAACGAAGAAGGCUCACCUCAUCACUAAUGGACACAAGCAGUAUGCAGUGACUGACUCUAAACAUUGGCUGUUCUGAAGUGUCCUAGCCUGGAUACCAGCAAUAGUAUCUGCUUGGAUAGCAGAUGUGUAUGCCCUGCUCACAGCUAAUUAUUUCUGCAGAGUGACAGUAUGAUGGUGAUUAAAAAUAUAUAUUAAUAUAUAUGGUGUAUUAGACCUAUAAAUAUAUCUUGCCUGAUUUAUUUGGUCUGAGCUCAUCUAUAAAUUGUCUGGCUUCUGAAGGAAAAUGGCAAAAUUGUCUUGCAUGUAGAGGGAUAGAUUUCAAGUUAAAUCAGUGGUUACAACAAAAAAAAAUCUAAAUGAAUGACAAACUCUGAAGAGCUCAAACAAGGCAAAUUGUGAUACAUAAAUAUCAGAGGGCAUGUGUAUGCCUUGAACAGAUACCAAACCUGAGAUAUGGAUGGAUGGAAGAAAAAAAAAGGUUCAGAUCACAUUUUCCCUCUGAGAAACCAAGAGCAGCAGCAUUCUAGUGCAGCGUAGUGGUUAGAGCUGCAACACACCUUAUUCAGUCAUGAAUUUGAGUAAUAAUUGAGUUGUAGUCUAUUUCAAGCAAGCAAGCAAAAGCAAGCAUGCUCGUCUUCCCCCAAUUAUCUCCCUUGUCAGUUUAAUUUCUUGGAAGAAUUCUGUAGUUUCCUAAAAAAAUUAACCAAACAAAACCAAACAAACAAUAAAACCACUUUAAAAAAAUCCAAACAAAAAAACCCCAAUCCCACACAAAACAAAGCAUCACACACACACAAAAAAAGCAUAAAUAUUUUGAGUAUAUCAUAUUGGAAUUUUCAUAUGACUUUCAUGAAGGACAAGGAGGAGUGCAGAUCCAUUUGUUUUCAAAAAUGUCAUUCUGGUUUUUUCAUAUUUCCCCUACCCCCCCCCCCCCCCCCCCCCAAAAAAAAAAAAAGGUUAUAAAAGGGUACUAGCAAACAAGUCUGCAAGAUGCUUCUUUCUUUCAUGUGAGGUAAUAUUCAGUACUGCUUAUGUGGAGUCAACACACUACAACCACAAGAAACAAGUUUUCACUCAAGUAUCUUGAGAUUCACUUUUGUCUUUAUGAAGUAUUUAUUUAAACAUUUGGCCUUGAAAGUAUGAUAGUGGAAUCAGUGGUCUAAUGCUGUAAAGAAUGAGUAUUAAAGUGAAUUGAGAAUAAUUUUUAAUAGUAUUUCAUUGAAGUCAAUGGGCCAACAUCACGCGAAGUGAGUCUCAUUGAAGUUGUGAAGAUUAAUUUUUUAUUUCAAGCCAUUGAAGUCAAAGGGAACAGGCUACAGAAAGUUAACCCCACACAGUGCAACUACAUUCAAUGCAGCCUUAUCUUGUGGAUUAAAAAAAGACUUUAUGAGAUUUGUGUAUCAUCGCUUUCACACAAUGUAUUAAAAAAAACCAACAGAGUAGUAUCACAGAGGCUGGUGGAGUGACUGUAAACAGACGUUGCAGCUAGGCUUUUAGUAUAGUUGUACAAUACCAUUUAACAGCACAGCUCACAUAAUACUACAGCGUGUUUUCAAGAGAGAAAUGUUAGGCAAGAUAUCACACAUCCUAUACACUUUGAACAGUGCCUCAAACUCUUGCUAGAUAGCCAAGAGAAUCAGACUGAAGAAGUCUGAUGUCUCAUGCAAAGGGUAGCAAUUUUAAAAAAAAAAAAAAAACAACCAAAAAAAACCCCAAACAACAAACCAAACCAAAACCAACACAUUCACUGCCUUUCUCUCCCAAAAAUGAAAGAAACAAGUCUUCUGCCAUGAGAGCAAGAACACCUUCACUUCAGGCAACAUUUACAGGGUUUGCAAUAUUUGACUAACAGAGAAUAAAUUUAGCUACUUAUCAUCAGGAAAAGGAUUCUUCAACAUUUUUUUAAACUUAAAUUUAAUCACAAUUAACUUCUAAAAUAUUUAGAUAUGAAAUCAUGUGAAACCAGCAGAUGCACAACUAGAUCCUACUAUGUUUUGUACGAGUUCAGAGUGAGAGACUUCCUUUGCUUUACCAUUUCAUGGAUGCUGUCAUUCCCCAAACACUUACCACUGUAUAAUCACAUUACAGUAGAAAACAAUGUCAAUGGACAAAUAUUAUACACAAACAUGAAUUAGAUAUAUAGAGGUAUACAAAUAGUUCAAAGUGAUUACAUAUUGUAUAAUUGAUGUGCAGUUUGGUUUUUUGUUGAUGUUUUAUUCUCCACAACUCUAAAAAGUUCUCUGUGCUCUAGAUCUAUUUCCCAUUGAUUAAAAAUGAUACUGUAGACUUUUUAAAUUUUAAAGUAUAAGUACAGCAAUUGCAAGUUUCAUUGAAUGCUUAAUUCUUUAUAUUCACGAGUGUCUUUGCAGCUCAGAAUAAUUCUGUAAUCGUGGAACACCUGGAGUGAAAGUAUUACUUAAUGUCGCAUCAACACUGGGACAAAGGACAUGAAGCCAACUUAGUUGGUGUAUAUAGGGUAACAAAAGAUAAACAAAGUAUGUGCAACCCAGUCAAUAUAGUACUUUAAGUCAGCCCACGUAGAUUAGCUUAAGUAGUCUCAAACCUAUCCUCCGAAACUCCAGGUGGGCAAUGAUGAGAACAAAGCAGCAAAACGCUAAAUGUCCUCUCUUUCAAGUGUAAUGGAUGAUUUUGUUCAUUCUGCCUUAGCUGCAGCAAAUCAGGUAUCUCAGUAUAGAAGACAUUUAUGUAACUUUAAAGUUGCACCAGCAUAUAAAAUGCUUUUCAGGUCAGCUUGGAAAUGUUGGCUCCUGACCAGCUACACUAGUACAAUGCUCUGUUACACUGCUCACACUGAAUUGUGCAGAAUUUUUUUCUACCCUUACAUGGCCUUGUGAUGCACCUUCAUAGAAACAGAUAGUUGCAAGGGAAUGGCAUUCUUUCUACUUGUUUAUCUUACAAAUUCACUUAGAUUCUUGUCAUCAUAAAAUUGGUAAUCCAAAUCUUUCUCAAAGUCUUAAAAAAAGAAAAAAAAAAAAAAGAACUAUACUGUGUAUCUGGAGAUAUUCUCAAAAAUCUCUCUUCAUAGAGCAACAUGGAGUUAUUGAAAAA